rnacentral:rRNA from 1 species
GAUGAACGCUGGCGGCGUGCCUAACACAUGCAAGUCGAACGAGGUAUUUUGAUUGAAGUUUUCGGAUGGAUUUCAAGAUACCGAGUGGCGGACGGGUGAGUAACGCGUGAGGAACCUGCCUCAAAGAGGGGGACAACAGUUGGAAACGACUGCUAAUACCGCAUAAGCCCACGGCUCGGCAUCGAGCAGAGGGAAAAGGAGCGAUCCGCUUUGAGAUGGCCUCGCGUCCGAUUAGCUAGUUGGUGAGGUAACGGCCCACCAAGGCGACGAUCGGUAGCCGGACUGAGAGGUUGAACGGCCACAUUGGGACUGAGACACGGCCCAGACUCCUACGGGAGGCAGCAGUGGGGAAUAUUGCACAAUGGGGGAAACCCUGAUGCAGCGACGCCGCGUGGAGGAAGAAGGUCUUCGGAUUGUAAACUCCUGUUGUUGAGGAAGAUAAUGACGGUACUCAACAAGGAAGUGACGGCUAACUACGUG